rnacentral:rRNA from 1 species
UCUGCAACUCGAGUGCAUGAAGCUGGAAUCGCUAGUAAUCGCGAAAUCAGCACGCGCGGUGAAUACGUUCCCGGGCCUUGUACACACCGCCCGUCACACCAUGGAAGUCUGCAAUGCCCGAAGCCGGUGGCCUAACCACUUAUGUGGAAGGAGCCGUCUAAGGCAGGGCAGAUGACUGGGGUGAAGUCGUAACAAGGUAUC